UGGUACUCCGGGAGUUCACAAUAAUUUCUCUUGCUACUUGCUUGUACUAUAGCAAGUCUUAUUGUGUUGUCUAUUUUUACCUGGUGUGAAAAUUAAGUGUGGAUGAUUGUGAUAUAUGGCUAGCUGUAAACUAUGAUAAAUGUUAUGUAUAGGUUGUUGCGUGAUUGAUUUGUUUGCUUUGGAUUUGUUGAUUGACUACAAAUUUGGAAAGCCAUUUCAAUGUUCUUGUUGUGUUCAUGAAGGGUUAAAAGGCUUGUCUGUGUCACUAUGCAAUGUUGAACUUUUUGGUCAAAAAAAAGAGGGGGAAAAAAGAGAGAGGGUAAGCUAGGACUGUGUGUACUGGUUUAUACUCAAGUCUUAAAAUUAAUGUUGUUAGUCAAACCAAAGAUGCUUUAGUCUUAAAAAAAUAAAUUUAACUUUUUUCAUUAAUUUCGUAUUAUUUUAUAACCUCCCUUAAAGUUAAUGAAAGAAAUGCUUUUAGUUUGAGCAAGGAAACAUAAGAAAGAUGAAUUUGUGGAUGUAAUCCUAAGAUGGUGGUCAUGAUGGAGAAUCAUUUGAGACGGUUUUGAUAUAAACAAUUCAGGCCUGUGAAUAUUUCCGUACAAAAUUGUGAUUUUAAUAAUGUGGAUGGGGCAAAAAGGGUGAAAGGGAGGCCAAAUUGGAUGGGGUAGAAGUAGAAGUUAUAUAGAAUAAUGGAAGGAGACAUUGUUGUUGGAGACACAAGUUAAAACAUGACCCUAAAAUAAGGUUGAGUGACAUAAAAGGUCUUUGUAGUUGAUCCCAAUUAGUUUGGCUUAAAGAGUUAGUUAAGUUGAGUGGUUGCUUGUAAUGCUAAGAGUUGUGGAAAAGAUUUGUAAGUGGCUUCAUUUAUAUUGUAAUGAAUUUUUGACUAAAACACUCAAAAGGAUUAAUAGUUAGACAAAACUAAAAUUUUUUGAGUUACUGGUCUCCAAAUAUAAUCCCAGCUCUUUCCUUUUUCUGCUGUUGAAAUUUGACUUAAAUUAAACUCUGCAACAAUAUUGAAAUUUGAAAGUGUGACAUGUUUUCUUAUUUAAGCAUGUUUCGUUCUAAUAGUUGUUUAAUGAGUUAGUACUUCGCACGUUCAAACUUAUGAACAUGCCUGCCUUCGUGUAGUUAAUGAUUUGAUUAAGUUGUGUUUUUGCUUGAUUAGAUAUAUAGUGGUUGACCUCACUUGAAAUUGAUGAGUAGUCAUAUAUAUAUGUGUAUAUAUAUAUUGGCUUGUUUGUAUGUUUUUCAAUUUUAUGACAUGGGCUCCGUUGUGUUUGUUUUGUUUGUCCAUGCAACACGACUUGAGAAUUGAGAGAGGGUCACCAUUGAAAAGUGGAGUGUUUAAUUUCUUUCAUUCUUUUCCCUUUUCAAAUAUGUUGGAGGUGAAAUGAAAUAUAUUUUGAGAAGAGAAUGCUUGAUAUGGUCAGUUCACAAAAAGAGAAUUUCUUUCUUAAUUGGAACUGCUCAUAAUUUGUACACCCCAAAACUAGCAUUGUUAUUUAUAACAAUCCCCAUUGGUACAAAGUUGACUCAUUUAUGUCAUGGCGUGCUUACUUGGAUCUUACACUUGGACUACGAAUUUGCAUGCUAUCGACAUCUAGAUGAUGGACUUCCUUGGAGCUGUCUUGAAAAUCCCUCUCUCUGGUGUGUUUAUAAUCUUGAGAGAUGUUCAUCUUGACUUCAAUUACAUACUAGUAAUUUGAGGGGAGCACAAAUACUCUUUAGAUUGCAUACAAGGAAUUUUGUAAACCAUUGGAAGUUGGAAUUUCUUCUAGAAAAUGCAUUAUCUUGGAAGAUUUUGAAGUUGUGGUAAGCUGGAGUAGGAAAUGUAAAUUAGGAACAUUUGAAUUUGCAAAGGGCAUGACCUAUUGUUCUGUACCUUCACCGAUCUCAAUAAGUAUUGGAAUUUGGAACCUAUAUUAUAAAUCUGCUAGUACAAUUCAACAAUGAGUCACUGAAUCAUUGAUAAAUUUAGGAUAUGACAGGUUCAGGGUAAGGUGUUCAAUGGGAAGAGAAGGUCAAUAAGGAGUUUGAUACUCUUUGAUUUAAUCAGUACCGUUUUAAUGUUCAUGCUUUUGUUUAAGAUAUGCUGUACACAGGAUGAAACCACAAAGAAGGCCCUGCCGGUUAGCAAAAGGCACUGGAACUAACUGAAGGCUUUUGGCCAGUUCCUUCUAUUUUUUUUUCCUUGUCCUGAAUGAAUAAACUAAUCUUUGUCUUCAAGAAUGUAUAUAUGAUUAUGUAUGUGACAUAAUUCAUAGAAAUAUUUCUAUAUUUCCUACAGAAGUUCUGUUUUGAAGUCCUGCUAUCAAUUACUUGGAUUUGAUAUACUAAUGCUUUGAGGAUGUAGCAAGUUAUGUCAAAGGUGUUUUGUGCAUCUGCUUAAGUUAAAAUUGGCAGGUACAGCAAAGCUGUUUUUGGUUUCUGUUUACUGCGCGAUGCCUUCUUUCUUCUCCCCUGCUCUCCCUGUUACUGUUAGGAUUUGGAAUGGAAACUCAUUUAUGUGCUGAGGAUGAGAUAUAUGAUCAACUUCAUGAAAGUAUGCUUGUUGGGCCAGUAAUGUUGCCAGCCACCCUUUUGUCCAUGAGGCCCCUGGCAGGCAGAUCCUCCAGAUCCAUAAAAAAUGUGUGAUUAUGAAUUGAAGACAUCAUUGGUGUCACGGUACUGCUAUUGACAUAUGCUUAUCUGGGACUAGAGUUUAUUUGAGUUGGAUGCUAUGUGAACAAUGAUUAUGAUGAUGAAUGGCUGCGAGAGGAACCUCCACCAAAGGUUUUGAUUGAUAGGGUUCAAAGAAAUAUUUUGGCUGACAAUCCCAAGGUCACGGAGAUGUAAAUCGAAGAAUCCCCUCCUUUAGCCGAGUAUGCCAUUGAAACCAAUGAGAAUGGAGAAAAACCAUGCCACUCCCUUCACCUGAUCGUCCGUCCAACUGAGCAGUAGUUGUGAAUCAAAGAAACUGCAUGACAUACUGUGACAUUUCUGCUUCAAAUUUUGACAUACUGAUGAUUUUGAGUGAAGUUGGUUUUCCAAAUCUCAAAAUCUCCAUCCAUGAUAUGCAAAAUUGGCUAGAUUGUGCUUUCUUUAUGGCAUAUAUAUUGGUCAUUGGAAACUAAUAAUGUCAAUUUUUGCUUUUGGUUUUUUUU